GGUUAAGCGACUAAGCGUACACGGUGGAUGCCCUGGCAGUCAGAGGCGAUGAAGGACGUGCUAAUCUGCGAUAAGCGCCGGUAAGGUGAUAUGAACCGUUAUAACCGGCGAUUUCCGAAUGGGGAAACCCAGUGUGAUUCGUCACACUAUCAUUAACUGAAUCCAUAGGUUAAUGAGGCGAACCGGGGGAACUGAAACAUCUAAGUACCCCGAGGAAAAGAAAUCAACCGAGAUUCCCCCAGUAGCGGCGAGCGAACGGGGAGGAGCCCAGAGCCUGAAUCAGCAUGUGUGUUAGUGGAAGCG
rnacentral:rRNA from 1 species